rnacentral:rRNA from 1 species
UUAUGACAUCUGACCUCAAAUCAGG